UACGGGGGAGCUAGCGUUGUUCGUCAUGUAUUGGGCGUAAAGAAGGUGUAGACGGCUAUUUUUAAAGGUUUGUUCUAAAAUCUAGAGGCUUAACUUCUUUGGUAGAACUUAUUCCAAAAUAGCUUGAGUUAAGAAAGGAAGGCGGUACUCUCAGUGGAGAGUUGAAAUCCCGGAAAAUUGCAGAGGACCCUUAUUAUGCGAAGGCGGCUUUCUUUAGUAUUAACUGACGUCGUGGCCUUAAAGUGUGGGAGCAAACGGG
rnacentral:rRNA from 1 species